CUAUGCUUGUAAAUAAGCAUUAUUAAGACCUGGGGGUGGGGGGGGGGGUGGGGCAAUGGGGGGGGGGGGGGGGCAAUGUUUUGGUUCUCUUUCAUCGUCCCUAGCAAACUUCCAUCAGCAAGAAUUUUGUUUGUUUGCUGCCUGUUGUAUGAGUUCUAGAGACUUGGUUGGACUAAUCAAAGCAAUAGUUUUGAGAAUUUGGUUGUAAAUAGUUUUCACUGCUUGAAGCACUUAAUCUUCCAAUUAAGAUCUCCCAGUAAAUAUUUAGUGACGGACAACUUAAUACAUAAUUAUAUAGCCAGUGAAGCAACUUAGAGAAAAUGAUUUACCCUUUCUCAGCCAUCAAGUCAAAAGACUAGAAGGGCAACAUCAAAACUAAACUCACACUUUCUGGACACCCUGCUGUAUGCAACACCUAAUACGGGGUUGGUGAUGUUCAUACUUGUUAUUUGAUCAAGGAUGAAAGUAAAGCCUCAAUUUUUCUGUAUGAACUUUGCGGUGCUUAAUGUUCUAUUUUUCUUUUUUAACCUCCUUUCAGAAUUUUUCCUACUUUUUCUUUUGAUGGCAUCUUUGACUAGUUUCUUAUAUGGAAGCUGUGUAAAUAAAAGAAAGGUGCUUAGAAAUUAUUGGAAAGAUGCAGGAUGAAAAUACUUUCGCGUUUCAAAAUGGUUAGGAAGAUCGUGCUUAGCAAUUACUGGAAAGAUGCAGGAUGAAAAUACUUUUGCAUUUCAAAAUGAUUAGGAAGAUGUUACUGUAUGAGAUUCUGUUCCGACUGUUAAGAAGCUUAAUGACAUUCUAUAGGGUAGUUGUUUAAUUUAGUUGGCACUGCUCUGCCAAUGAGCUGAGUAUUUCAAUUGCUAGAAUGAUAUUUAAUAUUUAUGAUUUUUAGUGUCCUAAUAGGAAGGGAGCCUUUUGGAAGACACCUUUAGUAUUUCCAGUAAUUUCAGAAAAUGAACUAUUUUCUUUAAUGCACUUAAUGGCUGUCUAGCAUUGUACAGAUACAAAGACAUCACUACAGUGUUGACCAAAUUCAUAUCUUAGUAUUUUUCAUUGAGAUUGUUGUUUCCAUCUUUCUCUCUCUCUAGUCUGUAUUUAAACUGAGUGUUAUUUGUCGAGAAUCAUAUUAUCUGUAGAUUCUCAAACUUUUUGGUAACCGGAUGUGUAUAGGAGAUAUUCCAACUUUUAAUAAAAUUAUUCACCUUAUAAGAAAAGAAGAGAAAGCAUCAGAAACGUCGUUCACAUUUGGUGUUUGCUGUUUCCUUUAGUAAAAAGUUAUAUGAAUUUGUUGAGCUAGCUGGCUUUGCUAGAGUUUUCUCUUUUAAUGUUCUGUUUCAAUAUGAAAAAUCAACAGUUUUUCAUUUUAGCUUGUUCAUUCACUGUCUAGUGUCCAUGAAGGCACUGUAGAAGCAAAAGGAUGAAAAAAUAAAGACUGCAUGUUGUUCAAAUUUUUGAUUCAUUGUUUUGUUCUUUUCCGCUGUUUUGAGAAAUUUGUAUCUUGAUUGCC
rnacentral:lncRNA from 1 species